AAGUCGUAACAAGGUUUCCGUAGGUGAACCUGCGGAAGGAUCAUUAACACGUAUCCAAACGUUAAAACCCCCCCCGUGAACCUUCAUCCUGCUCUUGUAACCCGCGUAGUUUGCAAUCUCUGAUAAAUCAUAGCCUGGAAAGUUGUAGUGAUUCAGAGACCUCUGGCUACACGAUUCCUGUAGACCGUACACUCGGGCAGGAGCUUUGCCAAAGGGUCCCCAUGCCCCCUAAUAACCCCACAGUUUAAUGUGAAGCUCAAUGUAAUACAUUGGGUAAAAAAACCGAACAACUGUUAACAAUGGAUAUCUUGGUUCUC
rnacentral:misc_RNA from 1 species